GAUGAACGCUGGCGGCGUGCCUAAUACAUGCAAGUCGAGCGAACGGACGAGAAGCUUGCUUCUCUGAUGUUAGCGGCGGACGGGUGAGUAACACGUGGAUAACCUACCUACAAGACUGGGAUAACUUCGGGAAACCGGAGCUAAUACCGGAUAAUAUUUUGAACCGCAUGGUUCAAAAGUGAAAGACGGUCUUGCUGUCACUUAUAGAUGGAUCCGCGCUGCAUUAGCUAGUUGGUAAGGUAACGGCUUACCAAGGCAACGAUGCAUAGCCGACCUGAGAGGGUGAUCGGCCACACUGGAACUGAGACACGGUCCAGACUCCUACGGGAGGCAGCAGUAGGGAAUCUUCCGCAAUGGGCGAAAGCCUGACGGAGCAACGCCGCGUGAGUGAUGAAGGUCUUCGGAUCGUAAAACUCUGUUAUUAGGGAAGAACAUAUGUGUAAGUAACUGUGCACAUCUUGACGGUACCUAAUCAGAAAGCCACGGCUAACUACGUGCCAGCAGCCGCGGUAAUACGUAGGUGGCAAGCGUUAUCCGGAAUUAUUGGGCGUAAAGCGCGCGUAGGCGGUUUUUUAAGUCUGAUGUGAAAGCCCACGGCUCAACCGUGGAGGGUCAUUGGAAACUGGAAAACUUGAGUGCAGAAGAGGAAAGUGGAAUUCCAUGUGUAGCGGUGAAAUGCGCAGAGAUAUGGAGGAACACCAGUGGCGAAGGCGACUUUCUGGUCUGUAACUGACGCUGAUGUGCGAAAGCGUGGGGAUCAAACAGGAUUAGAUACCCUGGUAGUCCACGCCGUAAACGAUGAGUGCUAAGUGUUAGGGGGUUUCCGCCCCUUAGUGCUGCAGCUAACGCAUUAAGCACUCCGCCUGGGGAGUACGACCGCAAGGUUGAAACUCAAAGGAAUUGACGGGGACCCGCACAAGCGGUGGAGCAUGUGGUUUAAUUCGAAGCAACGCGAAGAACCUUACCAAAUCUUGACAUCCUUUGACAACUCUAGAGAUAGAGCCUUCCCCUUCGGGGGACAAAGUGACAGGUGGUGCAUGGUUGUCGUCAGCUCGUGUCGUGAGAUGUUGGGUUAAGUCCCGCAACGAGCGCAACCCUUAAGCUUAGUUGCCAUCAUUAAGUUGGGCACUCUAAGUUGACUGCCGGUGACAAACCGGAGGAAGGUGGGGAUGACGUCAAAUCAUCAUGCCCCUUAUGAUUUGGGCUACACACGUGCUACAAUGGACAAUACAAAGGGCAGCGAAACCGCGAGGUCAAGCAAAUCCCAUAAAGUUGUUCUCAGUUCGGAUUGUAGUCUGCAACUCGACUACAUGAAGCUGGAAUCGCUAGUAAUCGUAGACCAGCAUGCUACGGUGAAUACGUUCCCGGGUCU
rnacentral:rRNA from 1 species